rnacentral:rRNA from 1 species
AGAGUUUGAUCCUGGCUCAGGACGAACGCUGGCGGCGUGCUUAACACAUGCAAGUCGAACGGUGAAGGAGAGCUUGCUCUCCGGAUCAGUGGCGAACGGGUGAAUAACACGUGAGUAACCUGCCCUUGACUCUGGGAUAAGCGUUGGAAACGACGUCUAAUACCGGAUACGAGCUCCAGUCGCAUGGCUAGGAGCUGGAAAGAAUUUCGGUCAAGGAUGGACUCGCGGCCUAUCAGCUAGUUGGUGAGGUAAUGGCUCACCAAGGCGACGACGGGUAGCCGGCCUGAGAGGGUGACCGGCCACACUGGGACUGAGACACGGCCCAGACUCCUACGGGAGGCAGCAGUGGGGAAUAUUGCACAAUGGGCGCAAGCCUGAUGCAGCAACGCCGCGUGGGGGACGAAGGCCUUCGGGUUGUAAACCUCUUUUAGUAGGGAAGAAGCGAAAGUGACGGUACCUGCAGAAAAAGCACCGGCUAACUACGUGCCAGCAGCCGCGGUAAUACGUAGGGUGCAAGCGUUGUCCGGAAUUAUUGGGCGUAAGGAGCUCGUAGGCGGUUUGUCGCGUCUGCUGUGAAAACCCGAGGCUCAACCUCGGGCCUGCAGUGGGUACGGGCAGACUAGAGUGCGGUAGGGGAGAUUGGAAUUCCUGGUGUAGCGGUGGAAUGCGCAGAUAUCACGAGGAACACCGAUGGCGAAGGCAGAUCUCUGGGGCGUAACUGACGCUGAGGAGCGAAAGCGUGGGGGAGCGAACAGGAUUAGAUACCCUGGUAG